rnacentral:lncRNA from 1 species
CCUCAGGUGAUCCUCCUGCCUCAGUCUCCCAAAGUGCUGGGAUUACAGUUGUGAGCCACCACAUCCAGUGGAGGUCAGUUCUAUUCACCCGAUUAGAUGAGGGCUACCUACAUUAUGGAGGGCAAUCUGCUUUAUUCAAGGCCUACAAAUUUCAAUAUUAGUCUCAUCCAAAAAAUACUCUCAGCAGAAAUAUCCAGAAUAAUGUUUGGCCAAAUGCCUGAGCACUGUGGCCCAGGCAUGUUGCUACAUAAAAUUAUCACAAAAGAUGAGGACUUGUCCUCAGGGACGCCAAGGAUGGGGUUUAAGAUAGAUAAUGGCGAUGGAACAUGAACACUGUCUCGGAGGCCAAGAACUAUGAAGGAAAAGUCCACUGGAUUCUGCAUCUGAGAUUCGCUGGACCACAUUUCUCUUCCUACUAAGUGUAAAAUACUGGUUAAGAGCAAGCAUGGGCUUUGGGGCAAAAAAAUAUUCUGAAGCCCAUCCUGACUCAGCCAUUACUUACUGUGAACCUGCACAAAUUACUUUCCCUCUCUCGACCUCAGUUUUCCAAUCUCUAAAAUAGAAAUAACUGUAUCUAUGAAGAAUUUUUUAAGAAUUAAAUAUUUUGGUGUUUCUACUAUAUGCUAACUGAUAAGUAUAGCUCAUGUUAAUAUUAUCAUCACUAAUAUUCAUAUUAUUUCAUCUUGAUCAUUAUCAUCUUCAUAUGUUCCAUAUUCAGAGGACACAAUUUAGAGUAGAAGGAUUAAAGAGGGAAUGGCUUAAGAAUAAAGGAGGGAUUAAGAAGGGAAUGAGGAAUAAGGAAAAAUGUGUGCCUGUAUUUCAUAGCCGACCUAGCAUUCUACACUGAAACUCAGUUCUGAGUCUAGAACACUUUUAAUUCAUUCUCUCUCCUUUUACAAGCAAGGAAACAUUUUCAACACUAAUACAUUUAUUUCUCCCAAUCUAUAGUUCAACAACACAGUCAGAAGUAUAGAGAAGACUUACUUUCUCUACCCUGCGCUUCUUUCACCAGAUCAGCAUAUUCCUAACUCCCAUGGCUUAGCCUUGAUUGUGAUGCUACUUUCCUAGAAAACUUCUAGUAAGAAUGGGGGUCAUAGUGGACCACAUCACUUCCUUCUCCCAGCAUUGCUGAGGCAAAUGAGGAGGGAGCAGGUUUAGAUCCUCACUACAAAGAGCAGGCAUGGAUUCUACCUCUUAAACAUUUUACUCAGGGUUCCCUGACAAUGAAAACUGCCUUUCAUUUCUUCUUUCAGCCCAUUGGAGUAGAGGUUAAUGACUUUGUCCUAAGAAACAAAAGGCUCACAUGCAAUUAAAAAGAUCUCAGAAACAAGUCAGGCAUGAAGAGUGUUCUAGAAACUCUACAAUUGAAUUUUUUUUCAUUGACAAAUGAUCCCGCCAUCAUUGUAGAUAGGGUAACAUAUCUAAUUCCUAUAAUUCUAUAUCUUUAAAUGAAGCCUGCAGGAAAUGCCUUGAUGGAAAGGAAGAUCAACGGGACUGAAAAUAACGUAUUCCACCUCAUUCCCCCUCUCUGAAUUCAAUUUCUCACCAGGCACUCUGAUAGCUUCCUUCUUCCACCCCUUCCAGAAGCCAAUUCUGAAUUAUCCAACCCUAAAAAAGACUAUGAAGCCAACAGAGUCACCAAACACCUAACUUAGCAAGGGCCCCGAUCUUCUUCUCCAAGCAAACCUCUUCCUCUUUGUAAUUCACCUUUAUGUUCUUCAUCUAGCAGAGAAAGAAAUAAACAGGGAAAGCAGAAAGAAAAGAGGUAGAGAGGGCACUGCAAGGCCCAGAGAGUUCACAAACAAAAGAACCUGCCUUAGUAUUACGAAGCACCAACCACACUUGCUUUAGGCUUAAAUCAGACUUGAUUUGGCUCUUCUGAACAAGCACCAGCAUCUAAAUCACUCACUUGGCAGCAUUAUCUGUGGCCUGUUACGUGACAGACACAAUGCUACACACUGGGGGAUGCCAGUAUGAAGAUAAGAUAUGGUCCUGGAAUAUAACAUUACUCAUGGUGUCACCUUGGGCAAGUUAUUUAAUCUCCCCGUGACUCCGUUUUCUCAUCUGUAAAUGGGGAUAAUAAUAACCUCUACCUCAAAGAUUGUGAUAAGAAUUAAAUGUAUUAUUACAUAUAAAGCACUUAGUGCUAGGGUAGAGAUAUCAUCACAGGAAAAUAGGAUACUUGAGAAUUCCACCUGGACCUUCACACAGACAAUGAUCCUUGGGCUGGGCUUUAUAAAAAAUUGUUUAAGGUUUUAAGAAAAGUGUAAAAGAGAUGGAAAGGUCAUGCUGGAGGACAGGCCAGCAUGAACAACGGCUCAGAGGUGAAAAUACACACAUUUCUUGGAUGGUGAGAGGCUGGAGCGCAAAGGGAGCUGUGAAGGGGAGGCUGCUGGAGCCUCAGGCCUCCUCUCCCAGGCUCUGCAGGGCCUGUGUACCUGGGGGAGGAGCCUGUCCGGAUGAUCUACAGAGCUCCUGCUGCAAGAAGGAAGCAGUCCUUAACUGUGUCCAAGGAAGAGUGGUUCUGGACAAAGAGAGGGAACAUUUCCCAUCUGUUCCUGUGACUUCCCCACUGGUGGGGCAGGAAGGACAGAAGGGAUGUUUGCCCUGAGAUGGGUUCAGUUUAAUUCAAGUUUCCAAUAAUUCUAAUCCUUGACCAAAUUUCUGUGAGUGGAGCCUUCUACUCUAGAAUCUUCCCUCCUUCUGGGCACUGCCUUCACAAACAUGAACUACCAACAGGCUUUCCUCUGCCCUCACUUUCCAGUGUUCCCAGAACUCUGAGGAAGGAGCAGCCCAGGUAAGGCAGAGCUGGAAAGGCCAUGAGGUGCAGAGGUGACCUCAGUAGCCACCGUCUCUGCCCUCUGAUAGGGAGCCAGGCUCUCAGUGGGUGGAGGAGACAGAGAGCAGAGAGAAAGAGGCAGACAGAGACAGAAAAACAGAUGGAGGGAGAGUCUGAGUGUGUUGGCCAUCUUCUGUGCUCCAUCUUACACUGCCAUGGUAACCAAUUUGUAAAGGUGUGACCUGGUGGAAGUAGGAGUGGUUCCUCCCUCACCAUCACUCCUAGUGGCCCCCUGUGGAAUUUGCACUUCUUGUCCCAUGACCUUAUGCUCUGCUGGUUAAGGGCCCCAGGUCCCAAGGGGGAACAUGGUUGGAAUUCUGCUAGAAGACAUGCCUGCUAUCUAUUUCUUUUAGGCUUCUCCUGCCAGUGAAGAAGUAGGCAUGGCAAGGAGUUACGUUGUUGUCAGGGGCAAUCAGCCCUGAUGACCACAAGGAGCCAGGUUGCUGCUCUACAACAUGGGGCAAGAAUGAGUGCCUCUGGAACCCAGAGAUCCCCUGGGGUGUCUCUCAGGGAUUCCUGUGCCCAUGGUAACCAUAAGUGGGCCAUUUGUAUACAACUGUGGCCUGGAAAGGCUCAGACCCAUUGGAGAUGAAAGUUCAAGCCACCCCACAGGGUAGCAGCCUUGACCCACCAAAAUGCUUACUGUGGUGAGGGAAAUGUAGAAACCAAGGUGGAGAAUGACGGAUCUUGAUUGAGGCCUUGGGAUCAGUCAUAAGGUCACAGACCAUGGCAUGUUCCACUAACCCUCAUGUCCUCAGGCUUUUUGUAGAGAUGACAGAUGGCUACACUUUGAAGUCACUGUGGCAAACUUGACUUCAUGGGAGGCAUUACUAGAUCUGAGCAUUGCAAGGGGAAGACAGCAUGGUGUCCUGUCUCAUUUCUUCCUGGACCGCUUUUCUUUCCUGCUGUUGCUGGGCUAACCAGCUUUGCACAGCUUUUCUACCUCAGUUGCAAGCUGUCACCUGAAGUCCUGCUCCAAAGAGAAGAACCGCUCAGAACCACAGUGCUGCCACUGCAGACCCAGGCAUCAUCCCAGGGGCCUGGCCACUCCUAAUGCCAUGCCUUGCCCCACAAAGUCACUCAUCUUGACUGGCGAGGCUGGUUCAGAUGAUCUCAUUUCAGGGACAUUUUCCUGGUUCCCCCUUUCAUUUGUCCCAACUCACUCACAGCUGAGCAUGCAUGGAUUAGGAUAACAACAAUGUUUCUGACAGGAAGUGUAUUACUAGAACACUUUAAGAACUCCUUGUGUAUACACACACACAGGCACACACACACGAGUGAAACCUUUUCCUAAUAUAAAGAUUCAAGGUUUUGUAGUGGCUUUAGUUUGUCCCAUUUUCUGUAGCAAGGUUUUAUACACAUACACACACACACAAACACACGCACACAGCGUCUUAAACAUAAGUUGAUGGAGUGUGAAACUGCACUUCAUUUACUGCAUAAUGGAACACCUUAAUGAUAUUCUUAGAUAUAAUGCCUUUUCUCUGAACCACUUUUCUUUUUAGUAUUUAAUGUAUGUUAUCAUCACAAUUUUCAUCUGUUUUUCAGAAAUACUCUACAAAAUCUAUUUUCCUUGCUGGAAAACUAGACCCAAAGAGCAGGUAUCCCUGUCUAUGUUGUUAGCAAGUAUUUUGAGAUGUCUUUAGGGAUGCAUAACUCCACAGAAUUGAGAAUACAAAGCCAGGAGACAUUAAAAAGAUGUCACAUCUGUAAGGAUACCUCCUGUACUAAGCUUAAAUGAACACUACAGAGGGUCUCAUUCUCAAAAGGCUUUGCUGGUUGUGUAGGACCAAGAAAGUUAUAAAGCUGAAGCCAAUAAUAAAGCAAAUGACCAAGAAACAACUUUUAUAUUAAUCAGGAUUCGUUUUUAAGUUGAAGUGACCAAAAUACAACUCAAACUAACUCAAGCAAAAAAGAAAUAGGUACUGGGGAGAGGGGACAGUAGGGGAACAGGCUCCCACAUACUGAGAUCUGGGAACACAAAGGGAAGUUAUCAGGUCUCUCUCCCUCUCAGCUCUGCUUCUUUCAGUGUGGUGGCCUCAUUCUUUCUAACUGAAGAACGAUCUUUACUGCAGAAAAUUCUAAGCAUUAUUGUGGCAGAUCCAGUAAGUCCCAGAGAAGGAUUCUGAUUGGUCCUGCUUCAGUCACAUGCUUGCAUCUUAGUCCAAUCACUGUGGCCUGGAGGAUGGGACACCAUGAUUUGCAAGACUCUGGUCACAUGCCCACACCUGUGGCUUCUGAAGCAGAGCACCAGCAGUGACAGUCCCACCAGAACCGCAUGGAAUAGAAAACUGUGCAUUUCCCUAAGGAAAGGGAAUGCCAGAGAAGGGCAGAAGGGAAAUCAGGAAGACAAAACGUGUCUUCAUGUUGGAGUGGACCUUUCCUCUAUCUGUCAACAGAAUGGAUAAAUUGUGGAAGAGUAAUAUCAGAAUACUACACAUCAGUAAAAAACAACAAACUUCUGCUACAAACAAUCAACAUCGAUGAAUCUUUCAGGCAAAAGGGUUAAUGCCUACAAUAAGUGUUCUUGAAAUACAGUCACGCGUUGCUUAACCAUGGGGAUAUAUUCUGAUAAAUUCAUCAUUAGGCGAUUUCAUCACUGGGCGAACAUCACAGCUCGUACUCACACAAACCUAGAUGUCAUAGCCUACUACACACCUAGGCUAUAUGAUAUAGGCUAUUGCUAGCAACAAACCUGUACAGCAUGUUACUGUCUUGAAUACUUAGGCAGCAGAGCACAAUGUUAUAGAAACAGAUGAUCAGUGGCCCACGGAUUCCAGGUGAGGAUCUGGGACCCAGACAUCCAGAUAUUGAAAACACAGGGAUGGAGUCUGUAUGGAAAAAAUUAAAAUAUAGCAAAAUGUGAAAUACGGAAGAGAAAUCUUUCAAUUUCCCAAUGGAAGUGAGAAAAGAGCAAAGAAAAGUAUUGGUCUUCCAAAACAAAUAGAGGACGGAGCUGCUGCUGUUGCAUGGUGUCUAGAAACUCAGACAACUUCAUCAUUCCAUAUUUGCAUCCAAGAGAGAGAAAGAAAAACUACAAUCAUUUUCCAUUUACCCAUCAACCCAUCAACCUCCAAAUAAAGGCUAUUAAAAAACAAUCAAAGUGUGAAGAGGGCAGAAAAUGUGAUGAAGAGAUUCUUUGGAGAAAGUAGCUGCCACUGUUACCUUGGGAUCUGCCUAUAGUCCUCACAGAGCUUGCCCUUGCAGGAUAGAACAUAGGAGUCUGGGAGUCUGCAAGAAGAGACAGGGUCUCACUAUGUUGCCCCAGUUGGCCUUGAA